rnacentral:rRNA from 1 species
CGUCCUUAUAAGCUUGGACCCAAGGAACUGAAGGAAUUGAAGAAACAGCUCAAUGAACAAGAGCGUCUGGGUUUGAUCAGACCGAGUUCAUCUCCGUGGGGUUGUGGUGUUCUUUUUGUCCAGAAGAAGGAUGGCACGGACCGACUUUGCGUCGACUACCGUCCAUUGAACAAGAAGACAAUCAAGAACAAGUAUCCACUUCCCAACAUCAAUGAGCUAUUCGAGCAACUCAAGGGUGCUAAAGUAUUCUCCAAGCUUGACCUUCGAAUGGGUUAUCAUCAGAUUCACAUUCAUGAAGAAGAUAUUCCCAAGACAGCAUUCGGAACAAGCUUUGGUUCUUAUGAAUAUACUGUCAUGUCUUUCGGCCUUGUCAAUGCUCCUCCAACAUUAUCUCGGAUGAUGAAUUUCAUCUUCAACCCCUAUACCAACGAAUUCGUCCUGGUGUAUCUCGAUGAUAUCUUGGUCUUCUCCAAGAAUAAGAAGGAUCAUGCCAAACAUUUGCGAUUGGUGCUCGACAAGAUCAGAGAGUAUCAAUUCAAUGCGAAG